rnacentral:rRNA from 1 species
GGUUUGUCGCGUCUGCCGUGAAAAUCCAGUGCUCAACACUGGACGUGCGGUGGGUACGGGCAGGCUGGAGUGCGGUAGGGGAGACUGGAAUUCCUGGUGUAGCGGUGGAAUGCGCAGAUAUCAGGAGGAACACCGAUGGCGAAGGCAGGUCUCUGGGCCGUUACUGACGCUGAGGAGCGAAAGCAUGGGUAGCGAACAGGAUUAGAUACCCUGGUAGUCCAUGCCGUAAACGUUGGGCACUAGGUGUGGGGGAUGUUUCCACGUUCUCCGUGCCGCAGCUAACGCAUUAAGUGCCCCGCCUGGGGAGUACGGCCGCAAGGCUAAAACUCAAAGGAAUUGACGGGGGCCCCGCACAAGCGGCGGAGCAUGCGGAUUAAUUCGAUGCAACGCGAAGAACCUUACCAAGGCUUGACAUGUGCCGGAAGCGCGCAGAGAUGUGUGUGCCCUUUGGGCCGGUUCACAGGUGGUGCAUGGUUGUCGUCAGCUCGUGUCGUGAGAUGUUGGGUUAAGUCCCGCAACGAGCGCAACCCUUGUCCUAUGUUGCCAGCGGGUAGUGCCGGGGACUCGUGGGAGACUGCCGGGGUCAACUCGGAGGAAGGUGGGGACGACGUCAAAUCAUCAUGCCCCUUAUGUCUUGGGCUUCACGCAUGCUACAAUGGCCGGUACAAAGUGUUGCGAGACCGUGAGGUGGAGCGAAUCACGAGAAAGCCGGUCUCAGUUCGGAUUGGGGUCUGCAACUCGACCCCAUGAAGUCGGAGU